rnacentral:rRNA from 1 species
GACGAACGCUGGCGGCGUGCCUAAUACAUGCAAGUAGAACGCAGUGGGGACGGGUGAGUAACACGUGGGUAACCUCCCAUCAGAGGGGAGAACACUUGGAAACAGGUGCUAAACCGAUACUGAUGGAUGGACCCGCGGGGCAUUAGCUAGUGGGUGAGGUAACGGCUCACCAAGGCCACGCUGCAUAGACGACCUGAGCGGUGGUUCGGCCACACUGGGACGGAGACACGGCCCAGACUCCUACGGGAGGCAGCAGUAGGGAGUCUUCGGCAAUGGACGAAAGUCUGACCGAGCAACGCCGCGUGAGGGAAGAGGUUUUUCGGAUCGUAAAACUCUGUUGUUAGAGAAGCGGUAUCUAACCAGAAAGCCACGGCUAACUACGUGCCAGCCGCCGCGGUAAUAC